UGGGGAAUAUUGCACAAUGGGCGGAAGCCUGAUGCAGCGACGCCGCGUGGGGGAUGAAGGCCUUCGGGUUGUAAACUCCUUUCGACAGGGACGAAGCUUUUGUGACGGUACCUGUAUAAGAAGCACCGGCUAACUACGUGCCAGCAGCCGCGGUAAUACGUAGGGUGCGAGCGUUGUCCGGAAUUACUGGGCGUAAAGAGCUCGUAGGUGGUUUGUCGCGUCGUCUGUGAAAUUCCGGGGCUUAACUCCGGGCGUGCAGGCGAUACGGGCUGACUUGAGUGCUGUAGGGGAGACUGGAAUUCCUGGUGUAGCGGUGAAAUGCGCAGAUAUCAGGCGGAACACCGAUGGCGAAGGCAGGUCUCUGGGCAGUAACUGACGCUGAGGAGCGAAAGCAUGGGUAGCGAACAGG
rnacentral:rRNA from 1 species